GGCUCGUAGGUUGGUCACCUCCUGGCUGGCCGACUGGACCGCCCCAUCGAUGCGGAGCGCCAGCUGCUUAUUGUCUUCCAUCAUGCUCAGGAUUUUGGCCUGGGGGCGAGAGAGGUAUGUGUUGGAAACAGAGUCUCCAAUCAAACGUCCGUUAACACAUGCGUGGAUAAAUGAGUUGCAGUACAUCCAUGUGUGGAGUAUUAUUCAGCCAUGAAAAGUAGAUCGUUCUGACACAUGCUGCAACAUGGGCGAAGCUUGGAAACAUUGUGUCAGGUCUCCAGCUAUGAGAAUGUUGACAGUAUUGUGGGUUCUCCUUCAGGGUCCUUCCAUCUACAGCUUCCUGAAGUAGCCUCCACCUCACGCCCUGGUAAGAAGCCCCCGUUAGGAAUGGCUGGGGUUUGAAUGUGUCUCCCGAAGUUCACACAUGGGACCCAACACGCAUGUUGACAGUAUUUGGAGCUGGGGAACUUGGGGAGGAUUUAAUUAGCAUUAGGCGAGGAGGGUGGGGCCCGCACGAUGCAUGAGCAACUUCAUAAGAAGAGGAAGCGCAGCCUGAGCUGGUGCACCUGCUGUCUCACCGGGGGAUGCUCUUUGCCACGUGUUCAUAAGGCAGGAAGGGCCCGAGCAGAGGCCAGCACCUCCAUGCUGUGCUCCCCAGCCUCUGCAACCCUAAGGAACAACUUCUUGUCUCUGUGGGUUUUCAAGUCUUUGACAUUCUGAUAUCGCAACACCGCACCACACAGACUAAGACGAGAACCGAGCCAGGUCCACUUCGUAGGGAACCUGCUGCUCUGCUCUCCUUGUCGCUUGGUGCCGUCCCUGGCCACCCACAGAGCUCCACCCAAGGCUCGGGCACUGGCCCAUUCGCAGCCGCCAGCCUCUGCCAGUAUUUGCCGAGGGAGCAAACUGUGCCAUGGGCAUCUGGUGCCCAGCAAAGCCUGCCUGGGCAUCUUGCAAAGCCAGCAAAACCCACCUGCUUCAGGCUCAGGGGAAGGAAAUUCCUAACAAGAACCCAGGCGGAGAGCCCAGCCAGUGGCGCACUGGGCCGCCGUGGGCACUUCGCUUCUCUCGUGAACAGAGUGACCACAGUGGGGCACUUCUGAGAGAGAAAGGGGCACUCGGAACAAUGAAGCCAGGGUGUGUAGCACAAACCAGCGCUCCCAGGACACCCAGCAGGUGUGGCCGCCCUGCCCACGACUGCUUUACGCCGACCACUUUACGCCAACCCCUUUACGCCCUUUGGUCCUGGAAGACAAAGCGGCUCUGGGGCCUUCCUGUUCACUGAUGGUGACACAGAGCCCGGAUCCAGGGAUGGGCCACACAGCCAUGUCACUGGAGGGGCUGGAGAGGAUUAACAGCAGAGUCCCUAGCACGUGGCCCCCAUCUUCCUGCUGGGGUGCGUGGCCCAACUUCCUGAAUUACAGAUGAGGCAUUGGUGGGGAGGGGGGCGCGACGGUUGCCUUCUCAUGCACCCCCCCACCCUCUGCCGGGCUCGCUGCCCUCCGGCCGCUUCCUUCUUGCCAACCGCAGGCCCUUUCUCUGCCUUUGCUUUUUCUCUUGCUUCUGGAAUGUUCUUCCGGGCUCCCCGCGUCUGCUUCCUUCUCAUCCUGUCGAUUUAGCAUUCCACACCUACUUAUCCCGUAGCGUACAUCACUACUGAUGGGUGCCGCGGUUCUUUAUUCGUCAGUGGGGAACACUGCACUGACUUAGGAUUCGAGCGAUCGCUCGCCGUGAGGUCACUCCCAACCCUUCUGAUCCUGGGCUUCCCCAAGGUAAUCCUGCCUUGUCUGGGAUUCCGCGGCGUUCCCAAGAAUAAGUGAUCUUUUCUUGAGCUAAUUGGAUUCUAGCUAAAGCAUGCAAUAAAAUGCUCUGGCUGAAACUACCCCAGCCCCCACCACAUGCACCCACCCCCUGGACCACGUCUCCAGAGGCCACGCCUGCGUCCCCUGCGUCCUUUUGCUUUCGAUGCCUGGUGCUCAGUGACUGCUUCUCCGAGGAGUCGGUGGGCAAGUGCGCUCAUUUAUGCUGCUCAUCCUCCCAACUUCAUGUCCGCCACGACUUUGCUUCUGUCACCAAAGCCCUUCUCAUCUUGGGUCCUCCCAGGAACUCGAGUCGCGUCUUUAUUGCGCAAAAGUCUUGCCCAGCUCUCCUCUUGUUUGUUGCUUGCAACAGCUCUGCUGGGUGGAGAGGCGCUGGAAUUGGCAGAUUCAGUCGCUGAGGUUCAGGGAUUUGUCCUGCGUGCCCUUCCUCCUCCUGUCCCCAAGGGCUCCUCGUGUGUUUGUGUAGUGCAUGACUGGGGGCCAGGACUCGGAUGGCCCCAUGUGUGGCCCAGCCUCAUCUCUGACUCAAACAUGGGCACUGCUUCUGGCUAAGGCUAUGUUCGUGGGCUCCUUCCUGCAAGAGUGGCUUCCAGGAAUCCGUACGGGGAACAAGGCAGGAAAGGGGAGAUCGGAAAGAGAAGCCAGCAUGUGAAGGACUCAUUGGCCCCGGAGUGAGUGACCCCAGCAGCCCUGAUGCUCCCAAGAGUCAGCGUGCGGCUGCAGGAGCGUGGUCCUCGCUCUUGCAUUCCACUUCCUGCACACGCUGUCCCUUGCUGGGCCGUGGGAAGCACACCUCUAGCCCUCAGGCUGCUCCUGGAGAGAGAGGGUGAGGAGUCCCCGACACGGAAGCCCGAGAAGAAGAUGCGUGAAAAUGCAGACGCCCAGGCUCCACUCGUGACCUGGCUGAGUUCCUGGGGCAGCGCCCAUCGCCUGCCUCGGUUGCACUGGAGAGUCUGAUGAACGGUGAUGUUGGAGACUCGGCCAUCUAGGAACCGUGGGCGGUGCACACAGAGAACCGAGUGCAAGUGCAGGAAGCCUUGAACACACCAGGAGCCCUCUGGGUCUCUGGAGUGGGGGGGAGCGUCCCUGCCCCUUCUCUUCUGUCUGUCUCGUGUCGCUCACUCCCACCCACCCCAGCAUCCUUGUGGCACUGCGACCCUCUCUGCAGAUGGGUGCUCCGUGCAAUGAAACCGUCGCACGCGAGUCCCGGCCAGUUCAGGAGAGGAUUCUCUCAUACAUUUACACUGUUCACUGUGCCCAGGGGGUUUUCACCUGCGCUCUGGGGGCAAGGGCGGCGCGUCUCACAGUCAGCCGUCACCAGGUGCUCUGGGUGAGAAGACUCGGAGCCGGCAGAGACCCCAACAGCCAUACAUUUCCUCCCACCCCCGUCAGUCACUGUCAUAGCCGCAGUUACGAACCAAAAAGAAACCAGGAACCCAAGAGAGGGGUCGCAGAGAGGACUGGGGGGCUGGGAAGCUGGAGUCACACGCGCCUCCCCAGCCCCCUGCUCGCGGACGGCCGGAGUGAGGAUGGCUGGAUGCCUGCCGCCUGUGUCCACCUGCAACCCGCCCAGGCCCUCUGCGGACUUGCCACCUGCAAAUGGCCCUUUCACAUGAUCGCUUCCCAUGCCGAAGCCCCUGUGCGAGAACGAGAUAAACACACGCGCAAGGAGCCAGGCUGAUGCAGAAGUGAGCCCCGCCCCCAUCUUGAAUGAUCCUUGGCAUUUGGUGACUUUCUUUGUAGGGGUGUGUGUGGGGGGGAUCACAGGAGAACCUGUGGGUGUGACCCCCGACCCGUGGCCCUGUCACAGCAUCUGCGGGAGACUCAGGAACACAGCCAGAAAGUGGGAGCAAAAUAUAAAACGCGGAGGUGAGCAUCUCCCUGCAGAGCCACCGCUGGCUCCCCCAGAGAACCGCCCCACCCUGCGGCGCCUCGCCCAGCUCCAGCCCUCGCGUCUCUCGGUGCUGGGGGUGGGCGCGCGUUUCAUUUUCCAGCUCUGCAGUGGGAUUCCUGAGAAAUUCUGCCUGCACAGCUACAGAGGAUAGGGCCCGGGGUGGGCAUUCGGACUAACGGUGGCAACGUCACCUAGGGGCCCACAGCCCCUCUCAGAGCGCCUGAUCUCCAAUCCUGGCUCCACUCUUGAUCCCAGCUUCCCGCUUCUGCACACCCUGGAAGGCGGCGGAUGGUGGGUCAAGUCCUUGGGUCCCUGCCACCCACAUGGGAGGCCUGGGAGGAGUUCCCGGCUCCUGGCUGCAGCCUGGCCCAGUCCUGGCUGUUGCAGGAAUGUCCUGCAUUUGCCAGUUCUGGCAUUUGAGGAAUGAACCAGUGGAUGGAAGAGUCCCUCUCUCUGUCUCUGUCUCUCUUUCUCUCUCUCUCUCCCUCACCCAUUUCAUAAGUAAAGAAGUUAAUUAAUUAAUUGUCGCUCCCCCUCUUCAUGGAGGAACGAUACAGGACCCUGCGCUGUUCUUUCGUCUGCUCGGCCCUUCCCGGGUUUGCUGCUGGUUCUUCCCGGGUUGGCUACUGACCCUUCUACCUCCGUGGAAGGGCGGUUCCCCCUGCCACUUUCCCCACUUCCGCGGGGGAGCGGCACACCGCCGGCCGGCUCUCUUGGGGGCUGCUCAGGUGUUCCUUCAGAUAGAUGUUCCCCAGUGCAUGUUGUCUCUCUCCUCCUUUAUAGUCCUCUUCCACCAAUCCCAACUCUGCUACCCACACGCCGAGUACGCUGCUCUCCUCCAAUCAGGAGCAGGUCCUACAGUUUAUUGGUUGAACUGGAGGCAGCUGUGUAGAAGCUGUUUACUCCUCUCCCAGCGCCAUAUUGUGGGAGAGCAGAUGCAUAGAGUAAGUCUUAAUUCCAGUAACUUAGUCUAGUCCGAGUUGCUCCCCACAAUUAAUUACAGCUUUCAAAAUAUUUUUAAAAAGUAUUUAAAGAAAGAAAGACAGGGUCAAGCCUUCCAGACACCCCCAUACUCUGCAAAUCAGCUCUAAUUUCCUGUUUUGUGGGAGACCCCUUUCCACAGCCGUCGGGAGGGAGCAGGGCCAGCACGCAGGCUCUGGGGGCAGUGAGAUGUGGCUUCAAGCCGCAGCCCCAGCACCGGCUAGCUCUGUGACACACGGCUCUCCUUAGCGCAGUGAGAUACUCCCGCUGGCUUCCUUGGGAAUUAAAUGUGACAGAGGCCGUAAAGUACCUGGCAGAGAGCCUGUGGCCUGGGGAGGGCUUGAGGAACGUUUCUGAUGAUGGGGGGCCGCACACAGAGAGGCUGCGGCUGCUGCUCCUGGCGGCCCCUGCUCUGUGGGCAUCCGCCACCAUCUGCCACUGUGUUCCUCCGUGGUCUCUGCCACCUCGGGCCGGGCCCUCCCAACACUGAGGCCGCCACCAGGAAAGCACCGGCUCACGUUCUCGCCCGGCCAGAUUCAAGCUCAGGUGCACCCACCUUUUCCUCCCCCUUCCCCCUCCACGACAUGAAUGCAGGGGCCCGCAGGGUGGCACGUGGGGUUAAGUCACUGCUUGUGACUCCAGCACUCCACAUGGGAGAGCGGGUUCCCGUCCUGGCUGCUCCGCUUCCUGUCCAGCUCCCUGCUAACGCUCCUCGGACAGCAGCGGAAGGUGGCCCAGCUGUUUGGGCCCCUGCACCCCAUGGGAAACCUGAAUGAAGCUUCUGGCCCUGGUUUCAGCCUGGGCCACCCCUGGCUGGUGCAGCCUUUUGGGAAAUGAACCAGUGGAUGGAAAAACUCUCUCUGUGUCUGUCACUCUGCCUUUCAGAUAAAGAAGUAAAUGUGUGUGUGUACUAGUCUUUUUUUUUUUUUUUGGACAGGCAGAGUGGACAGUGAGAGAGACAGAGAGAAAGGUCUUCCUUUUUCCAUUGGUUCACCCCCAAAGUGGCCGCUACAGCCGGCACUGCACCGAUUGAAGGCAGGAACCAGGUGCUUCUCCUGGUCUCCCAUGCAGGUGUAGGGCCCAAGCACUUGGUCCAUCCUCCACUGCCUUCCCGGGCCACAGCAGAGAGCUGGCCUGGAAGAGGAGCAACUGGGACAGAACCGGUGCUGCAACUGGGACUAGAACCUGGGGUGCCGGCAAUGCAGGCGGAGGAUUAGCCUAGUAAGCCGUGGCGCCGGCCCGUGUGUAUUAGUCUUUUUAAAGGCACAGAUGGGGUCUCGUCCUCACACAGGUCGACGCCCCAAGGGACCUCUGUGUCCUUGCCGACCUGACGUCCUUCGUGGCCUCUACUGUGAGGAGGAGGGGCCGGGGCUGCUCCCUGAUGGCCGUGUGUUUGCUCUCCUGGUCCCUGGAGACCCAUUUGGUAAAUGAGUUCUUUUGGUUCAUAAAAUGACAUCGCAGUGGCUUGGAAUACUUCACAGAGCUCCCCUGAACGGGCCGUUUAUCCUUCGCCCCCGAUAGGAUUCGCAUUGCUGGGGACGCCGUCCUCUAAGAGCUGUUUUCUAGUUUCCAGGGGGAUCUGGAUUCCACUUGAAGCACAGGGCACCCGCGCUGGUCCCGGUUUCACACGCACGGGGACACUCAGGUCCGCUCCCGGCCGUUCACGCUCCUUCUCAGUCAUUUGUUCAGAGAAAUACUUGCGUCAUGGGAGUUUUCCACUCACUCCUACUCCAGCCCUCACCACGUGAGCACUUCUCUCUGCGACCACUGCUUUCCACUCCCAGGACGCCCCAUGCCCUGAGCAGAGCCCCAGCACCCAUGGGAGCAGAUGCUGCUCUGUGAAGCUCCCAGCCAGCGGCGUGAAGACCCCGACGGCUGCUGAUGAUUCGUGGCAAAGGGGUCUCGGUGCUCGCAGCACGCACUGUCCUGUUUCAGGAGCUGCAAAGGGCCUGGGAUCUCGCCAACUAAACGCAGCCAGCACAAGGUGCCCUGGGAAAGACAUGCAGUAGCCAAAUGGAUCAAUGGAGAAUGAGACCUGCAGCCACCGGCCCCUGCGUUCAGGAUUAACCGCCUGAGUAUAGAUGGAGAAGAGAGUGUAGACGACACAGGAGAGCUGUGUGGUCCAGCAGCCGACCCUUUGGGAUGACCGUCUGUAGCCGGUACGUGGGACGCUGCCGUAUUCCUCUGCAGGAGUGCCCUGCCUUGCUUUCUACUUUGAGCAAUGGAUGGCUCCACGUUGGGCACCACAUGAGCGCGUUGUAACUCAAGAGGGCGCUGCCGCUGCUUGGGGCUACACCAGCUACGUAAGGGACCUCGCAAGGUCCCUGGAGCAGUGGGCGCUUGGACUUGUAGCUGAGCCACCGGGCAGGAUGCCCAUGUCCCUCGUCGGAUGCCUGGACGCAGGUCCCAGCUCUGACCUGUGACUCCACCUCGGCGGGCAGUGGUGACGGCUCAGGUAGUUGAGGGUUUGCCACUCACGUGGGAGAGCUGGGUAAGUUCUCAGCUCCUGGCUUCAUCUCCCUAAGCAUGGUGGACAUGCAGAGAGUGAACCAGCAAAAGGGAACUCUAUGUCUGCUCACCUCUAUCUCUGUCAAAUAAAUUUUAAAUUUUUUUAAUUUCAUGGAAAAACGUAAUUAAAAGAUAAAUUUACUUUA